UAUAGCAAAGAGGAUACACCUGUUCCCAUUCCGAACACAGAAGUUAAGCUCUUUAGCGCCGAUGGUACUUGGUGGGAAGCUGCCUGGGAGAGUAGGACGUAGUCGCGUA
rnacentral:rRNA from 1 species